rnacentral:rRNA from 1 species
UACGUAGGCAGCAAGCGUUGUUCGGAAUUACUGGGCGUAAAGAGUGUGUAGGCGGUGCUCUAAGUUCGGUGUGAAAUCUCCCGGCUUAACUGGGAGGGUGCGCCGGAAACUGGAGUGCUUGAGCGCGGGAGAGGAAAGCGGAAUUCCUGGUGUAGCGGUGAAAUGCGUAGAUAUCAGGAGGAACACCUGUGGUGUAGACGGCUUUCUGGACCGUAGCUGACGCUGAGGAGCGAAAGCGUGGGGAGCGAACAGG